AUUGAACGCUGGCGGCAGGCUUAACACAUGCAAGUCGAACGGUAACGCGGGGCAACCUGGCGACGAGUGGCGAACGGGUGAGUAAUGUAUCGGAACGUGCCCAGUUGUGGGGGAUAACUGCUCGAAAGAGCAGCUAAUACCGCAUACGACCUGAGGGUGAAAGCGGGGGAUCGCAAGACCUCGCGCAAUUGGAGCGGCCGAUAUCAGAUUAGGUAGUUGGUGGGGUAAAGGCUCACCAAGCCAACGAUCUGUAGCUGGUCUGAGAGGACGACCAGCCACACUGGGACUGCGACACGGCCAAGACUCCUACGGGAGGCAGCGGUGGGGAAUUUUGGACAAUGGACGCAAGUCUGAUCCAGCCAUGCCGCGUGCGGGAAGAAGGCCUUCGGGUUGUAAACCGCUUUUGUCAGGGAAGAAACGCUCUGGGUUAAUACCUCGGGGUAAUGACGGUACCUGAAGAAUAAGCACCGGCUAACUACGUGCCAGCCGCCGCAGUAAGAC
rnacentral:rRNA from 1 species